UUUUUGGGUGGAAAUGAAAGAGAGAGGUCAAAUAAAUUUUUGGAGGUUGUAUUUUAACUGAUUUUGAUAUGGAAUGAGUGAUUAGGUCAAGUGCAAAAAGGUGAUAUUUACAGUUUUCGGAACAUCUCUUGACUUGUCAAUAGGGGUAUGGAUGUGUAUUGGCUAAAUUUGUAAAAGUGAUUGCUUCAAUCUUUCUGAAUUUUGGAUAUAUAUUUGGACUAGGACAAUACAUUACACACACAAAAAAUUGGACAAAAGUGCAUGGUGCAAUUUUUUUAAUGAUGCAAAAGGUUAUAAAGAACUGAUAGAGG
rnacentral:lncRNA from 1 species